AUGGGGGUGCUGCGGAGCACGCAGAGCAUGGCGGCGGAGGUGGAGGAGAUGCGGGCGGCGCUGCUGCUCGGCCCCGCGUGGAGGUGGCGGGGCGGGGGCGCGGCCGCGGCGGGCAAGCGCGGGGCCGGCGCCGAGGAGGGCGCCGCGGAGGCGCGCGCCGUGUGCGUCACGGGCGGCAUCUCCUUCCUCGGCCUCGCCGUCGUCGACCGCCUCCUCCGCCACGGCUACUCCGUCCGCCUCGCCCUCGAGACCCAAGAGGAUCUGGACAAGCUGAGGGAGAUGGAUUUGUUCGGUGAGAAUGGCAGGGAUGGGGUCUGGACUAUUAUGGCAAAUGUCAUGGACCCGGAGAGCUUGCACCGAGCUUUCGAUGGCUGUGUUGGUGUCUUCCAUACCUCAUCACUCGUGGAUCCAGGAGGCAUCUCCGGCUACACGAAACACAUGGCGACUCUGGAAGCCAAGGCGGCAGAGCAGGUGGUGGAAGCGUGCGUGAGGACGGAGUCGGUGAGGAAGUGCGUCUUCACCUCGUCGCUGCUGGCCUGCGUGUGGAGGCAGAGCUACCCUCACCGCCACCGGUUCCCCGCCACCGUCGAUGAGAGCUGCUGGAGCGACGAGACCUUCUGCCGUGAGAAGAAGCUGUGGUUUGCGCUUGGCAAGACGAUGGCAGAGAAGGCGGCAUGGAGGGCGGCGCGUGGCCGGGACCUGAAGCUCGUGACGGUGUGCCCGGCGCUGGUGACCGGGCCGGGUUUCCGCCGGCGCAACUCCACCCCCUCCAUUGCCUACCUCAAAGGGGCGCACACCAUGCUGGCGGAGGGCCUGCUGGCGACGGCGGACGUGGAGCGGGUGGCGGAGGCGCACGUGCGCGUGUACGAGGCGAUGGGCGGCACCGCCGGCGGGAGGUACAUCUGCUACGACCACGUGGUGCGCCGCGCGGAGGAGUUCGCGGAGCUGGAGCGGCAGCUGGGGCUCCGGCCGAGGGCGCCGCCGCCCCCGGCCGCCGCGCCGCCGUCGUUCGAGCUCUGCAACCGGAAGCUGGCGCGGCUGGUGUCCUCCCGGAGGCGGUGCACCCACGACGCCUACCUCCCCGUCGCGUACGACUGA
rnacentral:rRNA from 1 species